rnacentral:rRNA from 1 species
UACAGAGGUCCGAAGCGUUGUUCGGAUUCACUGGGCGGAAAGGGUGCGUAGGUGGUCGGGUAAGUCUGAUGUGAAAUCUCGGAGCUCAACUCCGAAACGGCAUUGGAUACUAUUCGGCUUGAGGGUUGGAGGGGGGACUGGAAUUCUCGGUGUAGCAGUGAAAUGCGUAGAUAUCGAGAGGAACACCAGUGGCGAAGGCGAGUCCCUGGACAACUCCUGACACUAAGGCACGAAAGCUAGGGGAGCAAACAGG